rnacentral:lncRNA from 1 species
AACCCAUUUGUUAGUAUACCUAAAACAAGAGAACAUGUUUGAGAAAUAUGACAAGAAGUGUGUACAUGGUUGCACCAAAUUAUUUUUAAAAAGUUCAGAGAAAUACUUUGUUCAGAGAAAUUAUUGAUUUAGUAGUUGACAAAACAAUCUAGAAGAAAUACGUAGCAUUGAUACUGAAGUGAAUUCUUAUAUAUAAGAAAUUUGGAAUCAAUUUGCUCUAACAGAAUUUGGAAUCAAUCUGGAAGAAAUAUACGACCAGACCAGCAGUAAUUAACAAUAUUAUGACAUGUCUCUCAACAGCAAUCUAAGCUACAAAAAACCCCUUUUUCAUAUGUAGGUUUGUUCUGACGCUACUGGGAAGGCAACUAUACUGACGCUUUUGUUGUUUCCGUCAAACUGAACAGGUCCUGCGCAACUUGGGGCAAGGGAUUGGGAUCCUGGUGACCAAGAUUCUGAAGGAGACCCACACAUCCUACUCCCUGCGUGAACCUUCUUAGCUAGCAACACUACCCACCGCUACUAGUAGAUAAAGCAACGAGAUAAAGCAAGAACCAGCAAGAACGUAAUGAACCAGCAAGUACUCACCUGAGGCGAUUCACUUCUUGAGAUGAGGGUGCACGAGCCGAGGAGGCAGCAACGAGCUUGUUCGCAUGGUCCCCGCCGUCCGACCUCGCACCAGUUGUCUCAACUGUACCAGUUGUCUCAACGAUUUGAGGAGGCCGUAGCGAGGGUGAAGGAGGCAGCGAGGGUGAAGAAGAGGAAAUCUGAAGAGGAGGCGGCGGCGGGUACAAGGGUGGAGAGGAGGCAAUAGCGGCUGCACGAGGGAGAUAAGGAGACGGCGAUGGGAACGCCGGUGCGCGCGACUGCGCGAGAGAGGAGACAUCAGGGGGCGGCAGGUGCGCGAGGUAGAAGGAGAGGAGGUAGUGGGCGACGGCGGGUUCACGAAGGAGACGAAGAGAAGCGCAGUCGAGUCGGGGAAAACCUACCUGACGUUACUAGGCCGGGGGCGAAAGCCCGCUCUUCC